rnacentral:rRNA from 1 species
AGCGAACGCUGGCGGCAGGCUUAACACAUGCAAGUCGAACGGGCACUUCGGUGCUAGUGGCAGACGGGUGAGUAACGCGUGGGAACGUGCCUUUCGGUUCGGAAUAAUCCAGGGAAACUUGGACUAAUACCGGAUACGCCCUUCGGGGAAAGAUUUAUCGCCGAAAGAUCGGCCCGCGUCUGAUUAGCUAGUUGGUGAGGUAAAGGCUCACCAAGGCGACGAUCAGUAGCUGGUCUGAGAGGAUGAUCAGCCACAUUGGGACUGAGACACGGCCCAAACUCCUACGGGAGGCAGCAGUGGGGAAUAUUGGACAAUGGGCGCAAGCCUGAUCCAGCCAUGCCGCGUGAGUGAUGAAGGCCUUAGGGUUGUAAAGCUCUUUUGUCCGGGAAGAUAAUGACUGUACCGGAAGAAUAAGCCCCGGCUAACUUCGUG